rnacentral:tRNA from 1 species
GAGGGUAUAGCCCAGUGGUAGAGCGCAUGUUUAGCAUGCAUGAGGUCCUGGGUUCAAUCCCCAGUAUCUUCA